AAAUUGAAGAGUUUGAUCAUGGCUCAGAUUGAACGCUGGCGGCAGGCCUAACACAUGCAAGUCGAACGGUAACAGGAAACAGCUUGCUGUUUCGCUGACGAGUGGCGGACGGGUGAGUAAUGUCUGGGAAACUGCCCGAUGGAGGGGGAUAACUACUGGAAACGGUAGCUAAUACCGCAUAACGUCGCAAGACCAAAGAGGGGGACCUUCGGGCCUCUUGCUAUCGGAUGUGCCCAGAUGGGAUUAGCUAGUAGGUGGGGUAACGGCUCACCUAGGCGACGAUCCCUAGCUGGUCUGAGAGGAUGACCAGCCACACUGGAACUGAGACACGGUCCAGACUCCUACGGGAGGCAGCAGUGGGGAAUAUUGCACAAUGGGCGCAAGCCUGAUGCAGCCAUGCCGCGUGUAUGAAGAAGGCCUUCGGGUUGUAAAGUACUUUCAGCGGGGAGGAAGGGAGUAAAGUUAAUACCUUUACUCAUUGACGUUACCCGCAGAAGAAGCACCGGCUAACUCCGUGCCAGCAGCCGCGGUAAUACGGAGGGUGCAAGCGUUAAUCGGAAUUACUGGGCGUAAAGCGCACGCAGGCGGUUUGUUAAGU
rnacentral:rRNA from 1 species